AGAGAGUUGCCCGAGUGGUUAAAGGAGUAGCCUGCUAAGCUAUGGUCGGGAAACUGGCCCGUGAGUUCGAAUCUCACACUCUCUG
rnacentral:tRNA from 1 species